UGGGGAAUAUUGCGCAAUGGCCUAACGGCUGACGCAGCGACGCCGCGUGUGGGAGGACGCCCCUCGGGGUGUAAACCACUGUUGCCCGGGACGAACAACUGGUUUCGACCAGUCUGACGGUACCGGGUGAGGAAGCACCGGCUAACUCCGUGCCAGCAGCCGCGGUAAUACGGAGGGUGCGAGCGUUGUCCGGAAUCACUGGGCGUAAAGGGCGCGUAGGUGGCCUGGUAAGUGUGUGGUGAAAGCCCGGGGCUCAACCCCGGGUCGGCCAUGCAAACUGCGAGGCUGGAGCACUGUAGAGGCAGGCGGAAUUCCGGGUGUAGCGGUGGAAUGCGUAGAGAUCCGGAAGAACACCGGUGGCGAAGGCGGCCUGCUGGGCAGUAGCUGACACUGAGGCGCGACAGCGUGGGGAGCAAACA
rnacentral:rRNA from 1 species